rnacentral:rRNA from 1 species
GAUGAACGCUAGCGACAGGCCUAACACAUGCAAGUCGAGGGGCAGCAUGAAGUUAGCUUGCUAAUUUUGAUGGCGACCGGCGCACGGGUGAGUAACACGUAUGCAACCUGCCUGUAAGCGGGGGAUAACCCGGAGAAAUUCGGACUAAUACCGCAUAGUAUCAUCGAAUCGCAUGUUUUGAUGAUUAAAAAUUUAUUGCUUACAGAUGGGCAUGCGUAUGAUUAGCUAGUUGGCGGGGUAACGGCCCACCAAGGCGACGAUCAUUAGGGGUCCUGAGAGGAAGGUCCCCCACAUUGGAACUGAGACACGGCCCAGACUCCUACGGGAGGCAGCAGUGGGGAAUCUUGCGCAAUGGGCGAAAGCCUGACGCAGCGACGCCACGUGCGGGAAGAAGGCCUUCGGGUUGUAAACCGCUUUCAGGAGAGACGAAGCUACUCGGGUUAACAGCCCAGAGGGUGACGGUACCUCCAGAAGAAGCCCCGGCUAACUACGUGCCAGCCGCCGCGGUAA